rnacentral:lncRNA from 1 species
CACAGCCUUUCAAAGAGUUUCAGCUGGGGCUUGACACAAACCAAUUUCAAGUCUUCUCCUUGAGACCCAGGGGCUGGAGAAGCUGUCCCUUCGAGGCUCCCUGGCACCUACCAGGGGGACAUGUACCUCUCUAAACGGGCCCUGAAGUGGUUCCUGCCGCCCCGCCCGGGAGGGCGUUUGCCGGGACCUCGGCGUGACCGCGGCCCGUUCCGCGCCCGCGGAAAGACCGGCGGGGCGGGGAUCGCCCCCCGGGGACGCGGGGUGGCGGCGGGUUUUCGAGUUCCACCCUCCGCCCCCCACACUGCUAUCCCCCUAACUCUUGGCAGGCGGCAAGAAAUUGUUUCAGAAGUCUGGUGGUGGGGCUGA